GACUGCUGGAGUGUGCUCAGCCUGGGCUGGGGCAGAUCAGAAGCAUGGAGAGCUAGUGCCCUGAGGGUAGACCCCAAAUGAAGACUGAUGGGGCUGGUGAAGCAAGACCUCAGUUCCUCACUUCUCAGGUGAGUCGGCUAUGUCUCCUGAUCUUGGAGAAGUGGCCUUAUGUAUGAGAUGCCUGAUGAGGCCCAGCAGUGUGCUUCCCUCUCGUCACCAGACCAUAAGAACCAGGAGUGACCCCUUUGUGGGCUACUUGUGUUCCUCUGCUGUGGCAGGGUUGCUCCCACUGCAGGGAUUAAAACACUUAUCUCACAACAUCUUUGGGAGGAUCAAAUGAAAUAAUAAAUGUGAAAGUGCUUUGUCAACCAAAGACUGCUAUAAAAAUAAAUGUAGACCGAGGUUGAGGCUAUCGUUGCAGAAUUGUAAUCUCUGCACUUGAAAUUGAUGUGGAUAUGCAAGCAAAUGAAAGGAAAAUGAAAGAUUUUUUCCCCUGGAAGAGACCCCUCUUCGCCCAUCACUACAUGUCAGACUGAAGAAACAAGGAUGCUGAAUCCCCAGCUUAAUGCCAUCCCCUCUCGAACUAGGAACUCAUUUGUUCAAACUAAGAUUUCAAGAUGAAACUCCAAUCAGCAGUCCCCGUGAAAGUAUCAUUUCAAUCCAAAGAUUUUUUGAAGGAUGGACUGAUUAAAUAAUGAGUUUAGAAAUAUAAAUAAAGAAGUAGGACAGCAAAGUAAAAAAAUAAUCCCCUGGGAUUUAGAAUUGAUACAUUUAGGGCCUAAAAAUAAGAAAAAAAAAAUUA
rnacentral:lncRNA from 1 species